GCACCGAGAACCGCAAACCGAAUCCUUUUAUUGGUGCGUUUGUCACACUAGUACUUACAGCGGUGUAACAGUAGACUGAACUGUACUACUAUUCGCUAAUGUUGAUUCGGUCAGGUGUAAUUCAACCGAUUGUUGUAUUACAUAAGUUCUAGUUAAGAUCUUCCUCUAAAAGCAGGGAAUCGUUUUCACAAUCUAACCAGCGUUAAAAACAAAGAAUAUGGGAGACGGAGGAAAGGAACCUGAUGGCGAAUGGGCCAUUGAUCUUCUAACAAGAGAUAUGGGUUAUAAGACGCAAUUUUACAAUACAUAUUUCAGCGAAAUGUUGUUUGGAAUCGCAGGUUUUUGUGCACCAUUAUCAGCGAACGUGUGGGUGAGGCAGCCUCUAUUCUCUCAUCUUCCAAUUGCUAUUGUCGGAGGCUUGAUAGGAGUAGCUAUUGGAAAUUUUGUUACAAAGAAGGUCGAUUUCUUCUUUGCACGACGUGAUGCCAAAUUAAUAGAUUAUAUUAGACUACAUCCAGAUCGUUUCCCUGCACCAGAAAAUAAGAAAUAUGCAGAUAUAUUUCAGCCAUGGGUGCCUCUUCGAUAGUUGUCCUUUGAGCGAAUCCACCAUCGUUAUAACAACGUGACGUGCUCGAGACGAUCGUGUUCGGUAAUCAUGAGACGAAUUCGUAAUUACAGGGAUAUUUUUAUUCCAAACGUAUAGUAAAAAGGUGCCCUCUCCUCCCCCGCACAAUACAAUCAUGUCCCUAUCGUUUCAAGAUGAUCUAUGAGGAGAAAGUGGUAUUCGCGAAGAAGCUUCCACCAUGAUUUUAUAACAGUUAAGCAUGAUACAAGAGUCUUGAAACCAGUAACUUUUGAACACUAAACUGUUGUACGUACAAGUUGGGAACAUGUAUAUAAACACUUUAACAAAAUUCUCGAUGAAUUGUCAAAUUUAAUUUUCUUGAGAACGCAGCCCCGUAUAAACAAAUUUUAUUCUAUGCAUGUGAUUUAUUUUUUUAUAAAUUCUCGU